GGGCCGCGCGUCCGGAACGUUCCUGGCUGUCAGCGCUGUGCUAGCAGGAAGGUCUGUGAAGUUUGCAAUAAAGCCAUUAUGAAGUCAAGAAUGGAGGUUCCAUUUUUAAAGAACUCAGAGGGGGUAGAUCUUGAUUGACAUCUCAUCUGGGGUCACCUGGUCUUCAACUGAGAGAUCUUUUGGUUCGCCACGGAUGCCCCUUGCAGUUAUGGAAGUUCACUCUUUGAGAGAGAGAUAAAUAAACAUUAAAAUGUAAAGAAAAAAAAAAUCAGCAAUGGAAGGAAAAAGGAACAAAAAGCAAUCCAUUGGCGUCAAGCUUGACUGGACCACUCCACUGCUCUGCUGCCGUUAGUGAACCUGACCCUGCAGCAGGAGUCACAGACUCACCACUCACCUCAAGUCCUCACUCCCUGGACCCUCAAUCUACACAUCACUUUGUCUUUUAUUUCCCUGAGAAAUACAGGCCAUCAGUUUGCAGAUCCCUCCUUUCCCCUUACCCUGCAAAUCUCCAUCUAUUUGGAAAAGUGUGCCUCCUACAUUCCAAAGCUAACCCCUCCUCCUCUGCCACUAAUAUCAGCCCUACCUGCCUUCUUCUGUAACUUGCUCCAUUAAUUCCCUCCCCUCUCCCCCAGGUCUCCCUGCCUAUGAACAUAUUCAAGGACAUCAUAUCUUAAAAACAAACAAAUAUCAGGCACAAUGGCUCACACCUGUAAUCCCAGCACUUUGAGAGGUCAAGGCAGGAGAAUCACUUGAAUCCAGGGGUUCAAGACCAGCCUGGGAAACAUAGGGAGACCCUAUCUCUACAAAAAAUAUUUUUUAAAAAAAUUAGCCAGGUGUGGUGGUGUGCACCUGUAGUCCCAACUACUCAGAAGGCUGGGGUGGGAGAAAUAUUUCAGCCCAGGACGUCACUGUGCACAAUUGCUUUACUUUUUUUUCCCUUGGUAUAGACUUGUUGAAGAGUAAGCCUUCAUGUACUGUUUCCUCACUUUACAUUCACUCUCAACUGGAGACAAUAUAGAGUCUUCGCAGAUGCAGCUUUCUCCAGACCAACAAUGUGGUUAGACAUCUGGUUUUUCAUUGUUGUUGUUUGAUUUCUCUGACUAGCUUCCCUGACCAGAGGUCGUUUUGAGUUUCCUUCUCUGGAAUUUGACCACUGAGCAGAGACACAUAGGAGAGAAGACGUGAAUGCUGAGUCAUCAAUCAGCAUCACUGGGAAGAAAAAGCCUCUCAGUUUCUUCUGCUGGGACUCCCAGAGCUGGAGUAUUUUCUGCUCUUCCUAAGGCCUGAAUCUCACCUUGUC
rnacentral:lncRNA from 1 species